CUUCUCAUCGGUUGGGAAGCCCGAAAGCGAACGACGAUCGUGAGGCUAGGUUAGGGAUUUUGCAUGCAGAGAAAUCAUCUGGUCUGGUGGUGGAACAAACAAGAUAUCGAAUUCGUCGCCGUUCUUCCCUCGGUUGCCGCAAUGUCCCGUUGAUCCGUGCUCUGAUCCCCCUCUCGCUGCCGGCUCGAGGAGUGCUCUAUAACCCAUCGACUAUGCCAUGCUUUCCUUAAGGAGCUUUUGGAGCAGGCAUAGAAGGAAGAUUCUGGUUUCUCUCGGUAUUGCCGGUGGUGGAUAUUUCCUCUACAAGCUCUAUGAGAGUCAGGCCAGGAGAUUUUCUGAUUCCGAGCAGGAGCUCGAAGGCGCUCGACAAGUCGAUGAACUUAUUAAGAAUCAAUUGCAAGUGCAUUUUGAGAACAUCCAGAGGAUUUCUGACACGACCACACUACCAUAUGCGAUGCACUGCCUGCAGUCUAGUGUGUCUGAGAAUUUGGACCUCUCGCCCCUGACAGACAAGCUUAUUCAUGGGAAGGGACAGUCAAGCGCACUUCCUCUCAAGGAGAAGCUCGAGCUAUGGGAAAGGCUUAAAAUUCUAAGUUUCACAAGGGCAGCUGCUUCUUUGUGGUCAAUGACUUUGCUCUGCUUAUAUGUCAGAGUUCAAGUUAACAUAUUAGGGAGGCAACUGUAUCUAGAUAUUGCCCGUGACUUUGAGGAUUCUCAGCCUUUGGAUGAGGUUGAUUCAUUUAAAAGUCAUGGGCGACAGGCCUUUCUUGCUACCGCAGAUUACCUAGCAACUUAUGGGAUCAAUUCACUAAUUAUGAACAUGCAGAAUGCAGCUAUGGAAGUUCUCAAAGACAAGCAGCUUAAGGAGACUAUUAGCAUGGCGCAAUUGCGUGAAAUAAUGAUCCAAAUUCUGGAUAUGUUCAUGAACAUUGGCUCAUUAAAUUAUUGGAUAACUUAUCUGGUGCCUGAAAAUGUUAGCUGCUACAAGCAACAGAUAGCCAUGUCUGCCAAUGGAUUUGAAGAUGCUUCUCUUUUUAUGGAUGCCACCAAACUGGAUCAGCUGUUGGUUGAGACCCGUUCUGUGCUGUCCAGCCAAGACUUUGGGAAAAUCGUGGAUAUAUCUCUGAAAAAGGUGGUCGAGGUUUUGGUCAACGACAUUAGCGUACAAGUUCCUGGGACAAGUUCCGUGGGAGUUCCCUUAGCCAAACUAUUGCCGCAAAUCACACGAUUAAGCUUGCCUCUACUUGAUGAACCCCGUCGCAACAAAUUUGUGGAGGUCAUUCAAAACCUGCCAGAGGUCGAACUGUUCUACACUCUUCUAUAUGCAAACAUGCCUACGGAUUCAAAUGGUCUUACUACUGUGUAAAAGCUGCGCUCCUGCAUGUGACAAUCACAGUAUGUGAAAGAAAGUCUUCAGAUGCCUAUCAAAUUCUCGAGACAAAGCAGCUUUGCUAGCAAAUCUCUGGUAAUUUUGAUUUGGAGGUCUAAUGAAUUCAUUCAUGGCGUCGUUUCAAUACAUGUUCGUCCAUCAAAUAAUAAAUGCCUAUCAGUGUGCUCAUGAAGGUACAAGAACUGUCUUUCAGACAUUCAUCUAUGCCUUGAACUAUUUCUAGUGUCGUAUUUUAUUUUUCAAAUUAAAUAUAUUUUACAUUGUUCGACUUUACAUAUAUUUCCUAGAAACUGAUUGGAUGGCUAUUAAAGUCAACUAGAUAAUCUAAUCAAAUUGUAUAUAUAAAUUCUACCUAAUGGAUCAUGAAUAUUUGAAUAGUUAUAUAUAUAUAUAUAUAUCUCUUUGGAUGA